AGAUUGAACGCUGGCGGCAGGCCUAACACAUGCAAGUCGAGCGGCAGCACGGGUACUUGUACCUGGUGGCGAGCGGCGGACGGGUGAGUAAUGCCUAGGAAUCUGCCUGGUAGUGGGGGAUAACGCUCGGAAACGGACGCCAAUACCGCAUACGUCCUACGGGAGAAAGCGGGGGACCUUCGGGCCUCGCGCCAUUAGAUGAGCCUAGGUCGGAUUAGCUAGUUGGUGAGGUAAUGGCUCACCAAGGGCGACGAUCCCGUAACUGGUCUGAGAGGAUGAUCAGUCACACUGGAACUGAGACACGGUCCAGACUCCGUACGGGAG
rnacentral:rRNA from 1 species